GUUUUUGUUUUUCAAUCUGUGGCCUUGUCUUCUAAUUCGUUCUGUUGUUGCAGUUAUUGUCGUCGUCUUCGUCGAUGAUGAUGAUAAUGAUGAUGUAGUAAAUAACUACAUCCUAUUUUUUGUUUUCAGUUUUUUUUUUUAAUGAGAGAAGAAAAGUUAUUUUAAAACAUAUCUACUGAAUUAUCCUCCGUGAUUUCAGUCAAUUGACUGCAGCCAUGCUGGAGCACCCUUUCAUUAUCAAAACUUUAAAUAAGGUGGCAAGAUGACAGAAUCAUUGGUACAUUAGAGAAAAUGCUUAGCAGUGUUCCAUCUGGCUCUACAUUUUGAGUUCAACUUUUUGGUGUUGAUGAAAUAAGUACCAAGGUCAACUUUGCCUUUCAUCCUUUCAGGGUCAAUGAAAUAAGUACCAGUUGAACUCUGAGGUUGACAUAAUCAAUUUAAUCCUGCCCUCGAAAUUGCUGGCCUAGGGCCAAAAUUGGAAACCAAUAUGUGUAUGAAUAUUGAUAUAACCACCAUGUGUCUGUCCUCCUCCAACUUAAGUCUAAGUUUUUUUGCUGUCCCCUCACCUCAGAUGACUUGGACUUUACCAUCUUCUUCUACCCUCAGUUAACAAUGAGCCAAACUAGACUUUGUAGAGACAGUAGUUGGGGGAAUGAUAGAAAUGGUUCAAAGCUUAUGAAUGCUAAAGGACAAAUUAGUUUAUCACAAGGAUUAAUA
rnacentral:lncRNA from 1 species